CAUUGAGUGAUUGUUAACCGCUACAGAUUUGCAAAUCUUAUAAUAAAGUUGUUGUUUGAAGAAUAUACAGUCUCUCUUCCUUUUGGUUAGAAUUUCCAUGACAAUUCUUGGGAUGGCUAACUCUUCUUGCUGAUCGUUCCCGGGGACACCAAGGUUAAAUGUGCACAGGAGCUACGUUAGACGUGGCUCAGGGAGCCCACACUCCGAUUGAGAGGAGCAUAGGGGACCUGCCUCGGACCCGUCAGUGGACGGAUACGCCAUCCCGAACGUACAGAGUUAAGGGUGAGACUGAUUUUCUUAAACAAUUGGGGAAAGUUCUGGGAAAUCCUGUUCUGGGAACAAGUCACGUGUGUUAGAGAUACCAGGACAGAGUCCUGUUGAAAGCGAUUCCAGGAUAAGAUCCUGAGGUACUAUAAAGAUACCAGGACAGGGUCCUGAUGAAAGUGGUCCAGGACAAGGUACUGAGGUAAUAUGCCAUGGGUUACGAUCGUAAGAUGUAAAUGCAUGAGCUAUGCAAUUCCAGGACAGGGUCCUAAGGUAAAAGUAAGAAAAUAUUCCUGCACAUUGAAAAUAUGUUGUAUAAAAUAAUGUAUUAUUCAGUGGACCGGUAAAACAGUUGGUUAUAAUUGGGAUUUGACUGGCCACUUGUACAAAAUUAUAUGACAAUAUGUGUAGGAUCAUCUACUAUAUGGGUACAAAAUCCAAAAUUAAAUAAAGGAGUUAAACGAUAUUUUACAGAAAAUGAAAAAACUCUUUGAAUUAUAAGAAAGGAAGACGUUCCUAACCAAAUACUGUUUAUUUUGUGUUUGUCUCUGAGUGUGUGUGUAUAGACAGAGUUUCACAAUGGGAGCCAAGAGCAGAAAGGGAGAACCUUGUCUGCCCAACCCACUGACCGGACCACUGAAGGUAAUGGCAGAAAAGUGGGGCAGGGACAUUCUGGAACAGAUACAGCUCUGGCACAAGGUAGCAGGUUUUCCCUUAAAAAGGCACUUUGAUUAAGGCUUUAUUAGCAGAAUGUAGGAAGAAGUUUGAGAAGUUUGAGGAAACCAAGAAAGGAAAGACAUGUUAAAUAGAUUGGGGUAAGUUUAGAGAGUGGGAGAGAGAAGCCGAAAGAAAGUCAGACAAGAAAAUGUAAGAAAUAAUGGUGAAAGAAAGUAAGAAGGAGGAACAGACGGAGGAUGAUAAGAAAAGAAGGAGAAACUUUCCACCUCCCUAUUAUACCCCUGUACCCAAUGCACCAGCAUCCGCCCUGGUUGUCCAACAGCAGGACACUCAGCCACCUCCCCAGCCAAGACUCUACCCCCAGCAGGACCAAAAGACCCAUCAGAGGCAGCCUCAGAGCAGUAGGAACCCGUUCUACACACCGCCUACAAUGACUUCCGUUUCACUGGACGGAUGAUGGACCCUAUCAGGCCCAACUGGCUGCACUGUGUGAUUGAAUAAAGGAACAUUACCCGCCCAUGACAGAUUGGGCAGCCAUCCACAGUUGCACACAGAAAACCAAAGAGUCACUGGAGGACUAGAGGCAUACAUUGGAGAACUGUUUCCGCAAACGCAGUGGCAUCAGACCAGCAACAGACGGUCAUUGAACACUGUAAACACACUGAGAGGCAGCAACUGUCUCAAGAAGAUAAGACGAAACAGAGAAUGGAAAAGGAGGGUGUGAAACUACAAGCAGCACAGCUGGCCUUCUAUCAAGGACAGGGCCAGCAGCGGCAGGCUCAGGGAGGACCUCAAAAUGGUGGACAGAGAGGAAAAGGAAGGGGUAGAGGAAGAGGAGGAAGAGGAAGAGGAAGAGGAGGCAGAGGAGACAGCGCUGACGGAUGGUCCGGACAACAGCAACCACAUGGUAGGAACUUUGCCUGCUAUAACUGCGUAAAGGUGAGACAUUUUGCCAGAACAUGUCGAAACAAACCUACCGAACAGGGGGCAGCAGGGGGACGUUGGAAAACCGGACCACAGCUGAAAAUGACCCUUUACAACCCACAUAGGACUGACGUGAGGUAGAGACAGUUCACCCCCUUGGACAGCAUUUAAGGAUUUUUUCAAGCCCCCGUGAAGAACCAAUGAUUAGUCUCCUCGUCAAUGGACAGCGAGGCUGACGAGGCUGUGAAGGUCUUGGAGCAGCUCACCCAGCAUCCGCCAGAGGACAUUGGUGUAGUCAUCAAAGGUGUGGAGGUAAAGUGAAUGAACUGACUAUAGUGGCAUCUGUUGUGUCAUACUUCUGGGUUUGAUACAGUAUAUGGACUUGACUUGUGCUACCCAAAGACACUCCAUUUCACCUUUGAAGUGUUCCAGAAAAUACUAAUGAAGCUUGAUCAACACAAGAUGUCUCCCAAAGUGCAAAAUCUGUUUUGCAAACUACAAAGCACAGAGUAACAAAAACCAUGUUUAUCUCUUCUUAUGGGCUUUAUUUUGGUUUUAGAAUUGUAGGAUUUUCAGCUCCUCACAGUGCUUGUAAGGUCACUCCGACAAACAAAAAUGAACCAUUAUGGACCCCAACUGUUGAAUAUUCAAUAUAAAUGUAAUGUUUUGUAGCUAUACAUGUUUAAAGUUAGAGAUCAGAUAACCCAGGCUGGCUUUGCAGGUAAUUACUACGGGGCACACGUCACCAAACAGGGAAGUGACUAAUGGACUAUUCCACUAACAAAGACAACAGGGGAUAUAAUUGUCCACAGUCUCCAUUCAUGAGAUAUACCAACUCCCCUCGUAUUAUACCAAUUCUCGUUAAGCAGUUGGAGCAAGAUCUUGAUUGGAAUGGUCAAUUUUUCCCAUUUUAAAUAAUGGUUGAUACGAUCUCCCAUGUUCCCUUCCCACUAAAACUGAGUCUCCCCCCGGUGCCAUUAGAGAACUCGGGUGGAAGCGCCCUGACUCCACCCAUUCACGUGUCUCUGGUACUCCUUUCUUGUCAAAUAUUGUUGAACGUGUCAUAGAACAGAUUAUUGAAUGUUACCACUGGUCUCUACUCACUGUGUUUAAGGUAGCUCCUACAAACUACAGUUUUAUUGAAGUUACAAUAUGACUACCUGGAAAUGUUUUUGGGAUUCCAGGUUUUGUUCAUUCAGGUUGUCAUUAAGGAAAAUGCAAUACCCAACUAGUGUGGACAAAUUGUUUUGUGUACAUUGAAGGAGUUGUCUUUCUUGAGCUUGCACAAUAGUUCAACACAGUGUUUUUGAUCGCUUGAUGAAUCAGUUAUAUCUUCCAAAGUGCAAAAUAUU